rnacentral:rRNA from 1 species
UACGGGGGGGGCAAGCGUUGUUCGGAAUUACUGGGCGUAAAGGGCUCGUAGGUGGCCAACUAAGUCAGACGUGAAAUCCCUCGGCUUAACCGGGGAACUGCGCAUGAUACUGGAUGGCUUGAGUUUGGGAGAGGGAUGCGGAAUUCCAGGUGUAGCGGUGAAAUGCGUAGAUAUCUGGAGGAACACCGGUGGCGAAGGCGGCAUCCUGGACCAACACUGACACUGAGGAGCGAAAGCCAGGGGAGCAAAGCGGG